AAGAGCCGACGAGGUGGCCCGGUGGUGCCGGGACGCGCGCUGAACGCCGCGUCGGGGCGGUGAGCGCCUGUCGGGUAGAAUGUUCUCAUCUUCCGAUCCGUGCUCCUCGAGCCUGUGCAGCCCCACAGGUUGCAGGGCCCGGUCCCCCGGUCCCCGUGGGCGCCCACGCAGGUGGCGCCUUCCCGGCCAGUGGCCAUGCGCUGGAAUUUGAGAAGGAGGCCCAGUGGAGAACGUUGAACCCGGGUAUAGACACCGUUGGGGUUCCCUCUGCUUGAUCCAAAUGAGAUGGGGCUGCUCUGCUUUCUGCCCCGAGGCUCUUCUGACUUUGCCUACCCGAGGCCAGCAGUAGCUCUCUCAGCUCACGCCAUGCACAGCUUUGAAGUGUUGAUUGAUAAUUCACUCGGACCUGUGUUAUGACGAAUUUCCCAGAGGUGCAAGGUGGUCCCUUUGUC